AAACCUCCCACCACUCCGGUUACACCAACAAAACCUCCCGUUUCAACUCCUCCGAUCAAACUACCGCCGGUACAACCACCUACGUACAAACCCCCAACGCCAACAGUUAAACCACCGUCCGUCCAACCACCUACGUACAAACCGCCAACGCCACAGGUUAAACCACCCACUACAUCACCGGUUAAACCACCAACGACGCCACCAGUUAGACCACCGCCGGUCCAACCACCAACGUACAAACCCCCAACGCAACCGGUUAAACCACCCACCACAACACCACCGGUUAAACCACCUACGUACAAACCCCCAACGUCACCGGUUAUACCACCCACGACACCACCAGUUAAACCACCAACUGCACCACAGGUUAAACCACCAACAGUACCUGUCAAACCUCCGACGACACC
rnacentral:lncRNA from 1 species